GGGGUCACUUGGGGCAUGUGACUCCUACUCUGGAGACCACUGAUCCAGAGUAUAAGGUCGAACAGCCUCUUCCUCUGUUCCUUGCAGCUUGAAGACACCACCAAGCCCUGGGAAGAAAACAGCAGAACCUGAAAAGCAAACAAGCAAACCUAGACUGUUCAAAUUAAGUUGAUUUUCUAGCAGCAAAAAUUUUACCACAAUUUUAGACUUUCUCCUUAAGAAAAGCCCCUUCCCAUUCCUACAAUGGAUGGAUGAUAUUUUCCUUUCUCAUGGUCAACUGAAUGCUCUGUUUCCAUUUCAUGGGGACGUUAGCUACCUACUAUAUACUGGGCAUUGCAUUAGGUGCUAGGUCUUACCUCCCAGAGACUGUUAGGUGGGGUGAAAAGAAGCCUGGUUUAAGAAUCAGGAAAUGGGAGUUCCCGUCAUGGUGCAGCAGAAACGAAUCCAACUAGGAAGCAUGAGGUUGUGGGUUUGAUCCCUGGCCUUGCUCAGUGGGUUAAGGAUCUGGUGUUGCUGUGAGCUAUGGUAUGGGUCGCAGACUUGGCUUGGAUCUGAUGUUGCUGUGGCUGUGGUGUAGGCCGUCAGCUGUAGCUCCGAUUAGGUUCCUAGCCUGGGAACCUCCAAAUGCUGCAGGUGUGGCCUUGAAAAGACAAAAGACAAAAAAAAAAAAAUCAGAAAAUAUAGAUUUGUAUCUUGCUUUUCAACAUUCUGUCAUUCACAGGCUAGGUGACCUUGGCCCAGGUCCUUGGGAUUUUACCCUAUUUCAUCUCUGUGCCUUACUUGGUAUCUGGUUCUGAAGAUGAAGAAGGACAUUUGUCCCCUAGACAGAGGUCUACUCUGCUUUAUAAUGCUUGAUUUCUAAAAACCAGCUUUUUUAUUGUAAACUCUUUUACACCAAGCACAAGCACUCACAGUUCUGGCUUAGCAUUUGCCGCCAUGGGAUAACUUGUCUCUUUACACACCGUACACACUGUGAGUUCCUCAGGUGCAGGAAGCUUCACCCACUUGUAAGUUGCAGCCCUUGGCACACUGUGGGGUCUGGAGGAAGCAAGCACUCAAUGAAAUGUUUGGUGACAGAAUGAAUGAGUCGGAAUUCCCAUUGUGGCUCAGCAGUAAUGAACCUGACUAGUAUCCAUGAGGAUGUGGGUUCAAUCCCUGGCCUUGCUCAGGGGGUUAAGGAUCCAGUGUUGCUGUGAGCUGUGGUAUGGGUUACAGAUCGGGCUCGGAUCUGACGUUGCUGUGGCUGUGGUGUAGGCCCGUGACUGCAUCUCCAAGUCAACCCCUAGCCUAGGAACUUCUAUAUGCUGCGAGUGCAGCCCUAAAAAGCAAAAAAAAAAAAAA
rnacentral:lncRNA from 1 species